rnacentral:rRNA from 1 species
GACGAACGCUGGCGGCGUGCUUAACACAUGCAAGUCGAACGGAAAGGCCCUGCUUGCAGGGUACUCGAGUGGCGAACGGGUGAGUAACACGUGGGUGAUCUGCCCUGCACUUCGGGAUAAGCCUGGGAAACUGGGUCUAAUACCGGAUAGGAGCCAUUUUUAGUGUGAUGGUUGGAAAGUUUUUUCGGUGUAGGAUGAGCUCGCGGCCUAUCAGCUUGUUGGUGGGGUAAUGGCCUACCAAGGCGGCGACGGGUAGCCGGCCUGAGAGGGUGGACGGCCACAUUGGGACUGAGAUACGGCCCAGACUCCUACGGGAGGCAGCAGUGGGGAAUAUUGCACAAUGGGCGCAAGCCUGAUGCAGCGACGCCGCGUGGGGGAUGACGGCCUCCGGGUUGUAAACUCCUUUCGCUAGGGACGAAGCUUUUUGUGACGGUACCUAGAGAAGAAGCACCGGCUAACUACGUG